AUAUGAUAUAUAAACCCAAAUGGUUUCGUCCAAUAAAAAUAUUAAAAAUGUGUUAUUAUUCAGUAUUAUUUUUUUCAUUAUUAUUCAAGUUUUAAAUCUCUAGAUCAGGCGUGUCAAAUUAGGCCAACGAAAAGGUUUUACCCCCCGUUUGCUAAGUAUAAAAAAUGAGCCGGAAUUUUUGAAUGAAAGAAACUGCUGUUCUAAAUGUGUCCACUAGAUGUCACAAUAUCAAUUCUUGGUACACUAAAUGGUCCCUAGUGUGUGAAUGUGAGUGUGAAUGUUGUCGGUCUAUCUGUGUUGGCCCUGUGAUGAGGUGGCGACUUGUCCAGGGUGUACCAUGCCUUCCGCCCGAUUGUAGCUGAGAUAGGCACCAACGCCUCCCGCGGCCCCAAAGGGGAAUAAGCGGUAAAAAAUGGAUGGAUGGAUGGAUGUUAGUGCACCAGUCGAGGAAAAUAAUCAAACUGUUGUCUGUCUAUCUGGGUUGGCCCUGCGAUGAGGUGGCGACUUGUCCAGGGUGUACCCCGCCUUCCGCCCGAUUGUAGCUGAGAUAGGCACCAGCGACCCCAAAGGGGAAUAAGCGGUAGGAAAUGGAUGGAUGGAUGGAUGUUAGUGCACCAGUCGAGGAAAAUAAUCAAACUGUUGUCUGUCUCUCUGUGUUGGCCCUGCGAUGAGGUGGCGACUUGUCCAGGGUGUACCAUGCCUUCCCCCCGAUUGUAGCUGAGAUAGGCACCAGCGCCCCCAAAGGGGAAUAAGCGGUAAAAAAUGGAUGGAUGGAUGGAUGUUAGUGCACCAGUCGAGGAAAAUAAUCAAACUGUUGUCUGUCUAUCUGGGUUGGCCCUGCGAUGAGGUGGCGACUUGUCCAGGGUGUACCCCGCCUUCCGCCCGAUUGUAGCUGAGAUAGGCACCAGCGACCCCAAAGGGGAAUAAGCGGUAGGAAAUGGAUGGAUGGAUGGAUGUUAGUGCACCAGUCGAGGAAAAUAAUCAAACUGUUGUCUGUCUCUCUGUGUUGGCCCUGCGAUGAGGUGGCGACUUGUCCAGGGUGUACCAUGCCUUCCCCCCGAUUGUAGCUGAGAUAGGCACCAGCGACCCCAAAGGGGAAUACGCGGUAGGAAAUGGAUGGAUGGAUGGAUGUUAGUGCACCAGUCGAGGAAAAUAAUCAAACUGUUGUCUGUCUCUCUGUGUUGGCCCUGUGAUGAGGUGGCGACUUGUCCAGGGUGUACCCCGCCUUCCGCCCGAUUGUAGCUGAGAUAGGCACCAGCGCCCCCCGCGACCCCAAAGGGGAAUAAGCGGUAGGAAAUGGAUGGAUGGAUGGAUGUUAGUGCACCAGUCGAGGAAAAUAAUCAAACUGUUGUCUUUCUCUCUGUGUUGGCCCUGCGAUGAGGUGGCGACUUGUCCAGGGUGUACACCGCCUUCCGCCCGAUUGUAGCUGAGAUAGGCACCAGCGCCCCCCGUGACCCCAAAGGGGAAUAAGCGGUAGGAAAUGGAUGGAUGGAUGGAUGUUAGUGCACCAGUCGAGGAAAAUAAUCAAACUGUUGUCUGUCUCUCUGUGUUGGCCCUGCGAUGAGGUGGCGACUUGUCCAGGGUGUACCAUGCCUCCCCCCCGAUUGUAGCUGAGAUAGGCACCAGCGCCCCCCGCGACCCCAAAGGGGAAUAAGCGGUAGGAAAUGGAUGGAUGGAUGGAUGUUAGUGCACCAGCCGAGGAAAAUAAUCAAACUGUUGUCUGUCUAUCUGUGUUGGCCCUGCGAUGAGGUGGCGACUUGUCCAGGGUGUACACCGCCUUCCGCCCGAUUGUAGCUGAGAUAGGCACCAGCGACCCCAAAGGGGAAUACGCGGUAGGAAAUGGAUGGAUGGAUGGAUGUUAGUGCACCAGUCGAGGAAAAUAAUCAAACUGUUGUCUGUCUAUCUGUGUUGGCCCUGUGAUGAGGUGGCGACUUGUCCAGGGUGUACCCCGCCUUCCGCCCGAUUGUAGCUGAGAUAAGCACCAACGCCUCCCGCGGCCCCAAAGGGGAAUAAGCGGUAGGAAAUGGAUGGAUGGAUGGAUGUUAGUGCACCAGUCGAGGAAAAUAAUCAAACUGUUGUCUAUCUGUGUUGGCCCUGCGAUGAGGUGGGGACUUGUCCAGGGUGUACACCGCCUUCCACCUGAUUGUAGCUGAGAUAGGCACCAGCGCCCCCCGCGACCCCAAAGGGGAAUAAGCGGUAGGAAAUGGAUGGAUGGAUGGAUGUUAGUGCACCAGUCGAGGAAAAUAAUCAAACUGUUGUCUAUCUGUGUUGGCCCUGCGAUGAGGUGGCGACUUGUCCAGGGUGUACACCGCCCUCCACCUGAUUGUAGCUGAGAUAGGCACCAGCGACCCCAAAGGGGAAUACGCGGUAGGAAAUGGAUGGAUGGAUGGAUGUUAGUGCACCAGUCGAGGAAAAUAAUCAAACUGUUGUCUGUCUCUCUGGUUUUGGCCCUGCGAUGAGGUGGCGACUUGUCCAGGGUGUACACCGCCUUCCGCCCGAUUGUAGCUGAGAUAGGCACCAGCGCCUCCCGCGGCCCCAAAGGGGAAUAAGCGGUGGCGACUUGUCCAGGGUGUACACCGCCUUCCACCUGAUUGUAGCUGAGAUAGGCACCAGCGCCCCCCGCAACCCCAAAGGGGAAUAAGCGGUAGGAAAUGGAUGGAUGGAUGGAUGUUAGUGCACCAGUCGAGGAAAAUAAUCAAACUGUUGUCUGUCUCUCUUUGUUGGCCCUGCGAUGAGGUGGCGACUUGUCCAGGGUGUACACCGCCUUCCACCUGAUUGUAGCUGAGAUAGGCGCCAGUGCCCCCCGCGAACCCAAAAAGGGAAUAAGCGGUAGUAAAUGGAUGGAUGGAUAAAUAACAUACUGUAAUUUGAUUUUGAUAUUAUGUUUUUAUCUUGAUAGAUUGAAAAUUAACACGAAUGAGUUAACUGAUGUACAUUAUCACAUAAUUCAUUCCGAAAGUAUAAAUAACCUCAAAAAAAAGAUAGAUUAUUAUUAAACGCAACAUGUAAGUGUAAAAAAAAAAAUAGCAACAACAUAUUGAUUUGUACAUUUUCUUGUUCUAUUUUAAAACAAAUAAAACAAUAUGAAUUUGUCUUUAUUUUUAUGUUAUCGUGCCGUUAUUUUACCAGUCCGGCCCACUUGGGAGUAGAUAUUUCUC